rnacentral:rRNA from 1 species
UACAGAGGUCCCAAGCGUUGUUCGGAUUCACUGGGCGUAAAGGGUGCGUAGGUGGCCGGGUAAGUCUGACGUGAAAUCUCCGAGCCUAACUCGGAAACUGCAUCGGAUACUAUCCGGCUCGAGGGUUGGAGGGGGGACUGGAAUACUUGGUGUAGCAGUGAAAUGCGUAGAUAUCAAGUGGAACACCAGUGGCGAAGGCGAGUCCCUGGACAACUCCUGACACUGAGGCACGAAAGCUAGGGGAGCAAACAGG